UCAUCUACCGAGGUUGAUAGAUCCCAUCUUGGUGUGACCUAGUUCCUACAAUGAAUAUACUACAGCCAACAUACACCUCAGAGUUUCGAAUGGCUAGGAGACUGAGUUAUGGUGUAGUCAAACUAUAACACACUCAAGGUAAACUGUUGAUGCACCUCAGGUCAAAGAACUAGACACACAACUACAGCAUCGAGCUAGUCAUCGAC
rnacentral:lncRNA from 1 species